CCGACUGACCGACUAAUGAUUUAACUAUUACCGAUCGACAGCGGUUACUACCGAUCGACGACUGACAACUUAGACCAUCGACAUAACAGGACUACUAGUCGACGGUCGCUAAUGGAUUUUACCGACAUAUAGUCGGUAAUACCGACAUAUGGUCGGCUAAUCUACUCAACAUACCAUAAUCGUCACGAACGGUUAUCGACCAUGUCACAGCUAUUAAAAGAAAGUAACGCCCCACUAAUUCUAUAAUUAUGGCCCGACAAUUUAGUGUUGUUGGGUAUAAAAUACCCACAGCCGAAGUCCUCAGUGGAAUCGACUACACGACAACUUCACCCGGACUCCUACGGGAGCCGGGCUCCGUCACCGAGAACUCCAACAGCU
rnacentral:lncRNA from 1 species